rnacentral:rRNA from 1 species
UAUCUCUGUAGAGUCUGCAUAUCAAUAAGCGGAGGAAAAGAAACUAACUAGGAUUCCCUUAGUAACGGCGAGUGAAGCGGGAAGAGCUCAAAUUUGAAAUCUUCAAGGUUCUACCUUGACGAAUUGUAGUUUAAAGAAGUGUUUUCUGUUGGAGUUUUGGUAAAAGUUCUUUGGAAUAGGACAUCGUAGAGGGUGAGAAUCCCGUAUUUGACCAUUUCUUCCAGCUGUGUGAUACACUUUCAAAGAGUCGGACUGUUUGGGAAUGCAGUCCAAAAUGGGUGGUAAAUUUCAUCUAAAGCUAAAUAUUGGCGAGAGACCGAUAGCGAACAAGUACCGUGAGGGAAAGAUGAAAAGAACUUUGAAAAGAGAGUUAAACAGUACGUGAAAUUGUCAAAAGGGAAGCGUUUGACACCAGUGUUGUUUUCUCGAAAAUCAAUUAAAAAUGGCCGGAUUUUGUGUUGUAUUGACUUUAUCAGCUUUCUGCACUCUUUUUCUUGUCUUUUUUAAUGCACUUUUCGUUUAACAAGUCAACAUCAAUUUCUUUUGUUGUAAAAGAGGUCAUUGGAAGGGUGGCUUUCACUUUCGGAUGAAAGUGUUUAUAGCCUUUGAUCUCUGCAAUCCGGAGAGACUGAGGUCUGCAGCGUAGACUCUUCGGGGUUAGAUACAUUUGUGCUAAGUUAUAGCUUUUUCAUAGACAACAUUGUUGACUAUGAUUUAAGUCAUUGUAGCUUACUCGCUUAUGCUAUUUUACCUACGCUUAGGAUGUUGAGUAGCGACAUACGCAC